AGAGUUUGAUCAUGGCUCAGGAUGAACGCUAGCGGCAGGCUUAAUACAUGCAAGUCGAGGGGUAGCAAGAUUGUAGCAAUACAAUUGUUGACGACCGGCAAACGGGUGCGGAACACGUACACAACCUUCCUACAAGUGGGGAAUAGCCCAGAGAAAUUUGGAUUAAUACCCCGUAACAUAGCGAUGUGGCAUCACAUUGCUAUUAUAGCUUCGGCGCUUGUUGAUGGGUGUGCGGCUGAUUAGAUAGUUGGCGGGGUAACGGCCCACCAAGUCUACGAUCAGUAGCUGAUGUGAGAGCAUGAUCAGCCACACGGGCACUGAGACACGGGCCCGACUCCUACGGGAGGCAGCAGUAAGGAAUAUUGGACAAUGGACGCAAGUCUGAUCCAGCCAUGCCGCGUGAAGGAUUAAGGUCCUCUGGAUUGUAAACUUCUUUUAUAAGGGACGAAAAAAGGUCUUUCUAGAUCGUCUGACGGUACCUUAUGAAUAAGCACCGGCUAACUCCGUGCCAGCAGCCGCGGUAAUACGGAGGGUGCAAGCGUUAUCCGGAUUCACUGGGUUUAAAGGGUGCGUAGGCGGGCAGGUAAGUCAGUGGUGAAAUCCUAGAGCUUAACUCUAGAACUGCCAUUGAUACUAUCUGUCUUGAAUAUUGUGGAGGUAAGCGGAAUAUGUCAUGUAGCGGUGAAAUGCUUAGAUAUGACAUAGAACACCUAUUGCGAAGGCAGCUUACUACGCAUAUAUUGACGCUGAGGCACGAAAGUGUGGGGAUCAAACAGGAUUAGAUACCCUGGUAGUCC
rnacentral:rRNA from 1 species